UACGGAGGGUGCAAGCGUUAAUCGGAAUUACUGGGCGUAAAGCGCGCGUAGGCGGUUUGAUAAGUCGAUUGUGAAAUCCCCGGGCUCAACCUGGGAAUUGCAGUCGAGACUGUCAGACUAGAGUGUGGGAGAGGGUGGUGGAAUUCCCGGUGUAGCGGUGAAAUGCGUAGAUAUCGGGAGGAACAUCAGUGGCGAAGGCGACCGCCUGGCCCAACACUGACGCUGAGGUGCGAGAGCGUGGGGGAGCGAACCGG
rnacentral:rRNA from 1 species